rnacentral:ncRNA from 1 species
AUAAUGAUACUUCCGUCCAGUCACAGCACCCCUUGGUCGGGGAAUCAGGCAAUGAGGGCGGUUCUAUGAGAACCAUAGAGGGAUGAGAAAUCCAUG